AUCAAUGUGAGGUGCUGGCUAUGACAAC
rnacentral:sRNA from 1 species